UACGUAGGAGGCGAGCGUUGUCCGGAAUUACUGGGUGUAAAGCGCGUGUAGGCGGAUGGCCAAGUCUGGGGUGAAAGCCCCUGGCUCAACUGGGGGGAGGUCAUUGGAGACUACUCGACUUGAGGGCAACAGAGGCACGUGGAACUCCCGGUGUAGCGGUGGAAUGCGUAGAGAUCGGGAGGAACACCAGUGGCGAAGGCGGCUCGCUGGGCCGGACCUGACGCUGAGACGCGAAGGCGUGGGGAGCGAACGGG
rnacentral:rRNA from 1 species